rnacentral:misc_RNA from 1 species
GUGCGCGCGCACCUGGCGCCGCACGCCGCGCGCGACCACGCCGACAAGUGGCGCGCGCCGCCGCCCGAUGCUGUUGAUUAAGAUAUGGUGUAAUAUUAGCAAUUCCAGUUACAAAAUAGAUAUAUUUUUAGAAUAAAUAAAAGACUCAAUUUUCUUUAAAAAAAAUGACUGAAAAUAUUGUAUUUUAAAAAGAAAAUUAAAAAAAAAAACAAUAAAAUGUUUUGUAUUCUCUAUUGUUGAGACCUUUCAACAAUCUAUGAAGAAAAUUUAAAUCAUAUCAUUGUUGAUUAAGCAAUUUGCUUCAUUUUGCUUUAUACAAGGCUGUUGUGUACUGUUUCGAUGUACACAAAAAUGGUGCUUAAUUAUAUAGAUUGGACUAGCAUUUUGAAGCAUUUAGUUGCUAAUGUGUCCUAAGUUAUAAAUAAUUGUAAAUAUUAAUAAUUUUAAUUAAAAUUGGUAUGAUUGAUAGGGUGCCAUGACAAAAAGUAAAAGUAAUGUUCCAAAUAAUUUUCCAUUACACUUAUUGAUAGUGCCGGUUGCUCGUACACGACACUUAAACUUGUUAUGGACGUCAAUUUUUGUAACCUAAAUAUAACCAUUGUGAAUAUUUUCGUAAAUAAAGUAAAGCGUUGCACAAGCAGGCUUAGCAAUCAUCAAAAAUAACAACGGUUAACAAGCCUACUACUAUAAAGGUAGUAAAGGUACCACCUACCCUUCCUGGUUUGUAUCUUUUGACUUGAGUAAUUCAUUUUGGGACUAACUCCAUCUAGAUGUUAGUACAUAAUGAGUUUAAAAUAAUAACAUUCUUUAUUGCACACCAUUAAAAGAUACAAACAAAAGUAGUAUAAUUAGAGGAAGAUGUACAAAGGCGGUCUUAUUGCUAAAAGAGCAAUUUCUUCAAGACAACCUUUGGGUAUAGGACAGCGCAUAGAAAAGCGGUUAGGAAGUGUACAAAUAAUUGUUAUAGAAAUUAGAAUACAUUACAAUAGAAUAUAAAAUUAUACAUACAUACAUAUGCAUACACACUUACAUACAUUCACAUAUACACAUAGAUAAAUAAAAAAUUUAAAAUGUAAGUUGGUUAAGUUGAUUAGUUAUUAUUAGGAAAUUCCUUCGUUAUCACCAUGUGUAUGGAAUCUCACCACAAAAUGAAUUUUCCAUCAUGAAACUACGUGUAUAACCAUUUAUACACACACACACACAUAUAUAUAUAGUAAGUACACCUGUAGGAACAAAAAUAAAAUUCUGUAGGUACUGUGUCGUUGUCAGUUUUUUAAAAAUAAAAAAGUAAUUAUUUUUAAUAAUAUAUAACUACUAACAGCAAUCAUAUCCUACUUUUGAUUUAAUAACAGCCACUGAAGUGUUCUUGCAAAUACAAAAAAAAACUAUAUGUAAAACAGGCCUCGAAAAAAUCUAUGUAAAAAACAACAUUCUAAUGUCAUAUUCCUAAUACCUAUUUAGUUAGCAUAGAACCACUUCUGGUGUGAUUACUUUACAAAAUAUUUUUAUAGGUUCUUAAUUGACGAUUCCCUAACGUUAGUGCGUGUCGAGCAACCCUCUAAUGUAAGCAAAUGUGAGAAGUAUUGCCAGCUGUUUGAAUUUAAAUGAUAUUAUUAUUUUUUAUUUAUAACAAACUAUAAAAGUACUUUUGCAAGUGAUAUUUCUAGGCUAGUGAAAUAAAUAUAUCUUAAAAAUUGUAAAUAUUAUAAAAAUUGUAUUCCUUUUAUGAAUAAUAUAUAAACAAUAAAUCAUUAACCUCUUUUAUUUUACGUGUGUCAUUGACUGUUCAUGUCCAUUUUUAAAAGUUUUUAUUUAACUUGCAAUCUAUGUUUGUUAGAGUGGAAUCUUAGAACUCAAUUUUGGAACCAGUGGCGUAGCGUGGUUGUCGACCGCCCGGGGCGGAAGAAAAUUUUGCCGCCCUCUUAUUUAGUAUUUUUUUUUUUUUGUAAUGGAUUUUAUAUACAUUUUUAUUUCAACAGUAACAAUGCCAUUAAACCCUUAUUGGCUUUGACUCACAAUAAGAAAAGAAAUAUAUUUAAAAUAUUUGUGUGUAGUACAAUCUAUAAGUCA